UAAGACGAACCACACAAACGUUAUUCGGAAUUACUGGGCUUACAGGGUGCGUAGGCUGUGCAGCAAGUGAGGUGUGAAAUCCUACGGCUUAACCGUAGAACUGCGCUUCAAACUGCUGUGCUCGAGGGAGACAGAGGUAAGCGGAACUUAGGGUGGAGCGGUGAAAUGCGUUGAUAUCCUAAGGAACACCGGUGGCGAAAGCGGCUUACUGGGUCUCUUCUGACGCUGAGGCACGAAAGCUAGGGUAGCGAACGGGAUUAGAUACCCCGGUAGUCCUAGCCGUAAACUAUGAGCACUGGAUUGAAGGAUCCUCCAUAAUCUUUCAGUCGCAGAGAAAUUGUUAAGUGCUCCGCCUGGGGAGUAUGGUCGCAAGGCUG
rnacentral:rRNA from 1 species